GACGAACGCUGGCGGCGUGCUUAACACAUGCAAGUCGAGCGGUAAGGCCCUUUCGGGGGUACACGAGCGGCGAACGGGUGAGUAACACGUGGGUGACCUGCCCUCAGCUCUGGGAUAAGCCUGGGAAACCGGGUCUAAUACCGGAUAUGACUCCAUGACGCAUGUUGUGGGGUGGAAAGCCUUGUGCGGCUGAGGAUGGGCCCGCGGCCUAUCAGCUUGUUGGUGGGGUGANGGCCUACCAAGGCGACGACGGGUAGCCGGCCUGAGAGGGCGACCGGCCACACUGGGACUGAGACACGGCCCAGACUCCUACGGGAGGCAGCAGUUCAGAAUAUUGCGCAAUGGGGGAAACCCUGACGCAGCGACGCCGCGUGGAGGAUGACGGCCUGG
rnacentral:rRNA from 1 species